rnacentral:tRNA from 1 species
AGCCUCAUUUUGCGGGUCCUUUGGUGCCGGACUUCGAAUCCGUAGGCUGCGCGUUCGAGUCGCGCCGGGGGCGCCA